GGGCAUGUGGUGUAGUUGGUUAUCACGCUCGCUUAGCAUCAACAGCCUGCGAGAGGGGUCCGGUUCAAUCCCGGACAUGUCCA
rnacentral:tRNA from 2 species